GAGGAAGUAUGCAAGAACUGCUAACUCCUGCUACCAUAUAUAAUAAUAUGGCUUCCCCA
ensembl:Mt_tRNA